rnacentral:tRNA from 1 species
GGUCCCGUAGCGCAGAGGCAGACGCGUCCGUAUGACAUGCGGAGGGACGCCGGUUCGAAUCCGGUCGGGACCA